CCUACGGGUGGCUGCAGUCGAGGAUCUUCGGCAAUGGACGCAAGUCUGACCGAGCGACGCCGCGUGUGCGAUGAAGGCCUUCGGGUUGUAAAGCACUGUCGAGAGGGAACAAGCCGCAAGGUUGAGUGACCUCUGGAGGAAGGACGGGCUAAGUUCGUGCCAGCAGCCGCGGUAAGACGAACCGUCCAAACGUUAUUCGGAAUCACUGGGCUUAAAGGGCGCGUAGGCGGGCGAUCAAGUCAGGGGUGAAAUCCUCCAGCUCAACUGGAGAAGUGCCUUUGAUACUGGUUGUCUAGAGUGAGGUAGGGGCAUGUGGAACUUCCAGUGGAGCGGUGAAAUGCGUAGAUAUUGGAAGGAACACCAGUGGCGAAAGCGAUGUGCUGGAUCUCAACUGACGCUGAGGCGCGAAAGCUAGGGGAUCAAACGGGAUUAGAUACCCUUGUAGUC
rnacentral:rRNA from 1 species